GAUGAAGAUUUGAUAUAAAUGUGGUUCACUUGUCAGAGUAUGCCUUGUUCUUUUCGAGGUUGAACAGUUGCCCACUUGGGUUAUUCCAAUUGACUCCUUCCACUUUUGGCACCUGAGAAGUAUUUUGUUGCUGGUAUUUGUUCUCUUCGGGUGCUUUCUUUGUAUUUCCAAUAUCUUUAAGUCNCUUUGAUGGAGUCGGUUCUUCAGUUAUAUCUGACCCCAGCUUUCUCUUUUCACGAGCAUUUCUCUUAAGAUUCUUUUCAUUUUCCUNUGCAGACUUGGAUUCCUGAUGUAUCCUGAAUAACUGUAGUUCUUCCAGCCGAGGGGUUACAUAAGGAAAGGCAGUUUAUGGAGUAAGCUUGACCGUGUCAUUAACAGUUAAAUAACACAUGCUGAUACGAGAAUCUGUAUAUGAACGUUUCGAUCUUAAUAAAACCAAUGUGGCCAAGAUAAGGGCACAAUGGUAAAUUUAUUGCCUUGUGACCUAGAGAUUACAAGUUCAAAUCUUACAGUACUGUCUUCCCUAAAAGGAGCAAUGCUAUCUUCAUCUACCCUCCCGAUACUCCUUUAGCCAAGAGGGUAGGUACCUAGUUGUCCCUUUUAAAGGUGGGCAACAAGGAAACCUAAUUGACAGGGAUUAAGUCAGCCGAAUGUAUACAAGGCAUUCCUUGUACUCCAGAUAACUGAUACAAACCUUCAAACAACCAUACCCAAACGCUAGACACUAAGGUUGGGUGUUAAAUGUAUGGAAAUACUUAGUGUUUUAAUUGCUAAAAGUCAGAUAUUGAUUUAUUCUUUGUGUCCUUAAUUAUUUCCUAUCUUCAUUAUAAAUAAACAUCAUGUGUGUGGGUCAUGUGUGUGGGUGUAACACACAUUCAAGGUAGUUGAAUAGGAAUUACAACUCAUGAAUAAAAAGCCAAUUUUUAGAAUAAUGAACCAAAUUGUAUAAUUAAUAGUAAGAUUCAUGAUCAAUAAAAAAAACAUAGUAUAGAUACAUACACAUACACACACUCAUGAGUGUAAGACAAAAGAUUACAACCAUAAGUAUAGAGAACACAAAGAAACACCUAACAAAUGAGAACAUACAUACAUACAUAUAUUAUUUAGCUUAAAAUAUUAUACAUUAUGUUUAAUUUAGUUUUUUCUUAUGCAAUGAUUUAAAUAAGUUUUUAUAUAAAUUUUUUUAAUGUUACUAUUGUUAUUGUUACUACUAAUUAUAUGAUUGCUUGUGUUUGCAUUUUUUAAAAUUUUAAAAAAAUAAUAUAAGCCAUUAUCAAAGAUUGCAAUUAAUAAGUUAUUAACAAAAAGAAUUCUUUAAAUUAUACACUAAAUUGUCUUCUCUGUUUAUUCAAUCUAGAUGUUGAAAAUAAAAGUUGAAUGGAGUGGUUGGAGAAAAAAAGAGCUAUUAUGCGUCUUAUAUGUAGAAAAAAAAAUUAUACAUACAGAUAAUUUAGAAAAAAAUUAUGUACAGUUAAUGGUGAAGUCGCUGUUAUAUGUUGCUAUAGAUUAUACAGUAAACAAUUGUUCACAAUUAAUUAGAAGUUAAAUGUGACCCAUUUAAUAUGAUAAACAUAUUUUACUCUAAUUGAGGCCCUAGACGCAACAAAUAAGGAAACAGAAACCUCAACAUGAAAUCCUAAUGACCCGUAUUAGCUAGCGCUGCCACUCAAACUGAAACUUNUAUGAUAGGAAAUGAAAGGUUAAUGGUGACACAAUGGAGAUUGCAGAGGGUUUGGCAUGGCAGUUUUAGUUGGGCUUCAGUGCUAAAACACCAGAGAAACAUGGUUGUGGCAGAUCCCUCAGAAUUGGACCACAACUUGCAGCACCUCUAGAACAAGCCCUAGAAUUGGACAAUCCACAUUUGCAUAUAAUUCUGGAUAUUCACGUGUGAAUCCUUCAAUUCAACCUUAUUUGGGUUAAAAAAAUAUUAACUGCGCGACUUGCUUGAGUUUUGAAUCAUANUGUAUAUAGUAUCCCACAAUACUAACUAUAAUUCAAAAAUUCAAAUAAACACUGUUUGUAUAUAGGGGAUAACCCAAGACCAUAUAAACCCCACAUCAGAACCAUAUACUACUAGUNUAGGUUUCUAGUCACAUAACUUAUAUCGAAACAAAUAAAAGUUAAAAUUUUCAACAAUCAUUAAUGUAUUAUUACUCACUUUAGAUUCAAUUAUAAUAAUUUUCCACCUAAAUAGCCGAUAGAAAUUACUCUUUUAAAUUUUGAUGUGUUUAGUUUGAUUGGUAAGACUACUGCUCAGGGGGAGACAUUAGGAUACCAUGAAAAAUGACUAAAAUAUAUUUAAAUACAGUCAUUGGAUAUUUCUCGCCUUGACAAAUUAGGGGUGGAAACAAGUCGGGUCAGGCUAGGAUUUGAUGGCCCCAUCUUGGCCUAUGCUAUAAUUACUUAGCCUGCGCCUUACCUAUUCACUUAUUACAGGCUAUUUUUUUAAGUCUUGGUCUAACCUGCUUAAAGUUUGUCCUGACCAGCUCUAUAAAAGGCAUGCAUACAUUCUUUAUCACCUAAAUUAUUUCAAUUUUUGUAAAGACUAAUAUUAACAUUAAAAAAUUAAACAAUAAGUGGGUGAAACGGAUAAAUUCCCGAGACAAUAAUUUUCCAGAAACAGAGUAAGAAAACUGAGAUCUUAUAACAGUGCAAUAUGUAAAGGUAUAUAAUCCUUUUAUAAUGAAUGAAAAGGAAGAAACAGAGAAUGUAAUGUUCAACACAAUUUUCGUAAAUAUUGAUUCUACUGUAAGCGCUGACACAACUCCACGGGUAUCUUCUGGAAUAUUGUAACCUGAUAGAAGAAGAGAUCUUUUCAGAAUAAGAAUGGACAAAGGAACAUUUUAGAGAGAGAGAAAGAGAGAGCAUAACAGAAUUUGUCAGAGAGAAAAUUACCACACGCAUGAAUGAUCUCAGAGCACAUAAUCUUUUAGAAAUACAUUAUUUCUUUUACACCUCAUGCUUUUCCUUUGGCCUUCUCUUUGCUCAUUGCUUGCCAUGUCUAACAAACUUUUCUCCCCUAUCCAACUCAGUGUUUUGUAUUUCAUUUUUUUUACACGUUACAGUGGGACGUGGUCCUCUACAAAAACUAAAUAAUUAAAAUUUAUUANGAGAUCAUUGCCACCAAAUAAUAUCUAAAGAUUCACAAGCACUAUUAAUUAGAAAUAGAAAUAUAAACAGACAUUGCCCAUCAAUGAGGUAACCAAACUAUUCAUAAUAAGUCAAUACUCAUCCACAGAAUACUAGAGAACACAUCCAUAAGGGACAGAAGUCCACAAAAUAAAUGGACUGGCCUAGUAGACUUUUUUAUGGCCUCUUUAAAUACGUUUUUCAAAAAGAUUUAGCCUGACCUUAGUAAACAAGACAGGUCAGGCCCUAUGCCUCCCUUGCAAUACAAUAGUUGCACACAAUCUCUUCUAAAAGCUUGGGCUGUUAGGUAGAGAUUACUCUUAUAUCCAAUAGAUGUUUUACAAGAAUAAAUAUAAUGGAGAGUUCAGAAAUAAUGAAAAUGAAUUUAAAAAGAAAUGUGUACCUUGAGAGAUGCAUGAUCAAAAUCUUCCAGGU
rnacentral:lncRNA from 1 species